CUGUGAAACUAACAUGACAAAAAGAACUUUGCUUAGAUGAUUAAAUUAAGGAACUUGCCAUGGGGAGAGUAUCCUCAAUUAUCCUGGUGGGCCCACUGUAAUCACAAGAAUCCUUAAUAGGUGGAAGAAAAAGAAGAAGAUGGAGAAGAAGAAAAAGAAGAGGAGGAAGAAGAAGAAGAAGAAGAAGAAGAGUAAGAAGAAGAG
rnacentral:lncRNA from 1 species